rnacentral:ncRNA from 1 species
AACCCCGCCUGUUUACCAAAAACAUCACCUCUAGCAUUACCAGUAUUAGAGGCACCGCCUGCCCAGUGACGCAAGUUAAACGGCCGCGGUAUCCUGACCGUGCAAAGGUAGCAUAAUAAUUUGUUCCUUAAUUAGGGACUUGUAUGAAUGGCAUCACGAGGGUU